rnacentral:rRNA from 1 species
GACGAACGCUGGCGGCGUGCUUAACACAUGCAAGUCGAACGGUGAAGCGCCUUCCUUUUUGGUGGGUGUGGAUGAGUGGCGAACGGGUGAGUAACACGUGAGUAACCUGCCCCCUUCUUCUGGAUAACCGCAUGAAAGUGUUGCUAAUACGGGAUAUUCUGGGUCUGUCGCAUGAUGGGUCUGGGAAAGAUAUUGUUUCGGUGGGGGAUGGGCUCGCGGCCUAUCAGCUUGUUGGUGGGGUGAUGGCCUACCAAGGCGGUGACGGGUAGUCGGCCUGAGAGGGUGGACGGUCACACUGGGACUGAGACACGGCCCAGACUCCUACGGGAGGCAGCAGUGGGGAAUAUUGCACAAUGGGCGCAAGCCUGAUGCAGCGACGCCGCGUGAGGGAUGGAGGCCUGCGGGUUGUGAACCUCUUUCGCCAGUGAAGCAGGCCUGCCUCGUUUGUGGGUGGGUUGACGGUAGCUGGAUAAGAAGCGCCGGCUAACUACGUG